rnacentral:lncRNA from 1 species
GGCAAAAAUAUAAUUAAUGGAUUAUGAAAUUUAUAGUACACUCUUUCAACAUACAGUGAGGUUGAGUGAAUAAUGGAAUAAUAUGAAAUACUACAAUGAGGAUGAACACACAUUAAUAAUUAAAACAAAGGAAAAUUACUUCACAUUCAUUUUAUUUAUGCAUUAUUGAAUUAGUGCAUCUUAGAAAGGAAAAAAAGAGAGGUUAUUUUGCCUGUUCUUGACAGUCUACUGAGAACUGAAUUUAAUACAUCAAGCUGAAUAUUGAUAACUUCAUUUGAGGUUGUUUCUUUCGGACAUAAUAUCACACACAGAAAACCGUUUGGAAAGAAUGCAAUGAAAGCAUAUCAAGACUUUCUAGCACAGGUCAUGAGGAUCUCUUAUGAAGUAACGGAUCACGGAUGACUUGAGGCUCAAAGUCUGGUUUCACAUACUUAGCAAGUGUCUCCGCAUACAACUCGUAUCGCGCAGUCAUUCUGAAACACCACUUGUCUUUAAACUGCCUACACAGGUUAAGAUCCAUGUCUGUUAUUAAUAAACCAUCACUGUUACGUGAUAAAGACGGCGUGCAGGAUGCAUCUGGUGCUGAAACAUAGCUUGAUCCAUAAAAAUAUCCCAAAUCUGUAUGUGCUGGCUUGCCAUCACCAGAAGUAAAUGGAUUGGGGAAUAUCUCAGUCCCAACGCGGUUGAUUGCAGCAACAAAGUAACUAUUUGUUAUUGCAGCAUAACGUGCCUGAGAAACAUAACACCUUCAUUUAUUAAUUUUGGUAAACAAAAAUAACACCUUUAAGCCGUGUAUGAUUAUGAAUAUAUGCAGAUGUUCUGCAGGUGUAAAAUCUGGUUGUAUUUGCAUAUAAAAUUAGUCACAGCUGUCCAGAUUAAACAGGAAGAUUAAAGCACGCCAAUUUUCUUAUCUAGUCAUUUAUGAACAAAUUUCCUGGUGAAUAUCAGCCUACAUGUAUUAGCAUCGAAUAAUGUUAUAAACAUUAAGAAAUACCAGAUAAGAGUUUAACAUGUCUUCCAUCAAUAUAAAACAACUGACCUCUAUUGGCCACAUUGCUUCAGUGAGUCCACCAACAGUGGCACAAGGGUUGAAAACAAUUUCGGCGCCAUUCAAGCCAAAAGUUAAACAGUUCAAAGGAUGGUGCCUACCAUAACAUAUAUUAAUGGCAAUCUUUCCAAAUUCUGUUUCAAAUACUGGGUGACCUGUAUUUCCUUCCAUAUAAUAUGUGCUCUCAGUAAAGUCUCCAACUCUUGUUACAUGGUUCUGACAAAUGUUGUGUGUUCAUUAGAUAGCAGAAACACGGGCUAUUCCAUUAGAAGUGAAAGUAGAAAGUUUAGGAAAUUUACCUUCCUGUGUAUGCCAAUUAUAUUGCCGUGAUUCCCAAUUACAACGGCAGUGUUCCAAAUAAUUUCUCCGUGGUUCAUAUCCCUCUCAAGAAUUGGGCUUAUAAUCACCAUGUUAUACUUCAGUGCAAAGCUUCGCAAAAAUUCAGUUGAUUCCCCGUCAACAGGUUCUGCAAAUUCACACCACUUCUUCUCUCGUGUAGAGAAACCAAAUGGCAUCAUCCAAAAUUCCUACAAUCGAAUUUUUUAAAAACAAACAUCAAAGGUUUUCUGAUAGAAAGAAGAAAUCAGUUGAUAAAUGUUCAUAUGCAUGCAACCUACUUGCAAGCAUAAUAUGUUGACCCCUGAUGAACCGGCAGCGUCAACAAUGGGCUUUACUUUCUCAAAGAUAGCCUUUUUUUGGUCGAUAAAGUGCGCAGUUGUUGGGAGGGCAAUAGAGUUCUGAAUCAAACCAACCCUCACAACUCGAGGUUCCCUUAAUACUUCUUUAUCAGCAUGAAAGCAGAAAGCCUGAAAUAAAUAAACUUGAAAUCACGAGACUAACCAAAAGUUAUAGCUUAAAUAACAGAUAAGUUUCAAUGCUGAGGAAUAAAGCUGCUGUGCCGUCUUGUCGAGAAAUCGAGCAUACACUCCGUCAGUUUAAGGAAUCAACACAACUAAAUUAAUCCAGCAUAACUUCAUCUUGUGAUAUCAUUAGGGAAAAAGUGAACAAGUGAACGGUAUUCAUACCUGGAGGUCAAAACCAUGUUCCAUGGAGAGAGCUGUGGCAGAUUCCGGUAGAGCGAUUGUUUCAAGUACUUUUCCACAAUUAAGCCCUGUAAGCAGACGAUUGACUUCCUGCAACACAGUUCUCACAUGGCGAACCAUCAGAAAAUAUGUGAUUGAUGCAAGCAAGCAAGCACCAAUGCAAUUAAACCAAUUUAGAAGGAAUAUAUACCAUCCACCUCCAAUGAAGAUCGAAUAUUCAAAAGCAAAAACAUGAGUAUCAAGGAAGCUAAAUUUUUAAAGACAGAUGGAAUCGGACAAUUGUUUAGAUGCUACUGCAAUGUAACAGUUCAUUAAGUGGUUAAUGAAUAUAGCAAGGUGUCGCAAUUCAUUAGCCAUCCACUGAACACAAUUAUCACGAUUUUGAGCAUCAAUAACCACAAUUUUUAAGUGUAUAUUUGAAAACUUGCAAAUCAUGUGCAUUUGAACAUAAUUUGCAUAACUAAUCUGAAAAUUAUGAUUAAUUACAUUCACAUUCGUUAUUAAUUAAUUGUCUACAGUAUUUGGUUAAUUAGUCGUGACAUCUUGUUAGAUUCCUUAACUAAUUGUGUCAAGUAAAAUAUUUGAAUUGCAUUAACCAUAUAGUAGUUUGAGUGUCAAAAUAACACCACUCUUCUGAAUAUCAUUUUGAAGAGAGUCGCAAAACUUCACCUCAUUGGACAAAAUUUCACAUGAUGGUAUAUAAGAGAAUCCGGGAAUGUCAAAAGAGUAGUUGAAAGUAUAAUAGACAAGCUAAAAGGAUGAAUUCAGCAUGUGAGCAGAAUAAAUAAAUGGGUUUGAGUUUUGAGUAUAAUAACGAUUGGUUUGAGUUUGAGAGUAGAUUACCUGGAAGUGAUGAGGUUUGAGAUUUUCCUUGAGAAGAUGCUGAAGGGAAUUGUAGCCACAAAUAGAACCAUCCCCAUACUUAGAGAGCUUGAGUUGUUCAUUCUCUGCUCUAUUUUCGGACUUGUCCAUCUCCGUUUUGAGACUGUUUGGAAGAGUGACAGUUUGAACACUCUUCUUUGCUGUGAUGAUGAUUUAUUCAUGUUUUGGUGUGCAAUACUAUUGACUAAAGGUAAAGAGAUAUUUGGUAAAAAAUAAUAUUGAAAUUACGAGGAACAUGCAUAACAGAAACAAACUCCAUGGUCUCCAUCAACAUAACAUAUAUCAGACUUGGACUACAAGUCAAUAGCAGCCACUGCAGUAUUGGGCUGCGUGCUGUUACUCGGAAAGUGUUAGAUUAAUCAACUAAUAAAAAUGUGAUAAGAGUUGAAAUGUUUGCGUGAAUGAAUGGAUGGGAUUGAACCAAGUGUUUGGGGUACUAAAAACAAAACCUUGUCACUUGUCCAAAUUGACUUGUCGUCGAUUAAAUGAAAGGAAAUGUUAACGAGUGCUUCCGGGACACUCUUUAAGCAAUUUAAUUAGAAAGUUCUUUAUGAAAAGUUGUGUAUUGAGUGCAUUGGAAAUUAUAAUAGUUGACUUUUUAAAAGAAUAGUUGCUAAAUUUGAUUUCCUUAAAGAGUGCCCCAGAACACUCGUUAACAAGACCCUUAAAUAAAAAUUGUUAUGCAAAAAGCAAACUAAUAGCAAUAUAUUAAAUAAGAAUAGAAUCUUUGUAUUAUCCUCUUUAAGGUGCAAUCGUUAUAAUAUGUCACAUGAUUCUAUUUAUAGGACAUAAAUCUUGCAUCUUACAACUUUACAAGUGUAUUAAGAGUCUUUGUAUAAAAAAUAUAUAUAUUAAGAGUUAUUUAGUCAAAUGAGUGAAAGUCAUUUAAUCAUAGAAGUUUUAUACUAUCAUAUCCAUGGAUAUUGAGCAUAUGAUGAAUUGGUGGUCGUAAGAGGAAAGUUCUUGUUAUACUUGCACAGAGAAUCUAAAAUGAAAAUUGAAAACAUUGUAAGGAAGUAAACAGGCCCUAAUAUUGACCAAAGGGCUAGCAAUUGUAGACAGUGAUGGUAAUUAUGGCAACAAAAAUUAAUGUAUUGUGGAAUUUUGAAUACACUCUUUCAAUAAACAAUGAAGAUGAAUGAGUAAUUAAAUAUGAAAUGUUACAAUCAGGAUGAACACACCUUAAUAACUAAAACAAAGCCAAAACAAUUUCAGAUACAUUUUAUUUAUGUAUAAGUGAAUUAGUUUAUUUUAGGAAAGGAAAAAAAAAAGUGAUUUUUCACUAUUCUUGGCGGUUUACUAAGAGCUGAACAUUGGAAACUUCAUUUGAAGUUGUUUCUUUCGAGCAUAAUGCAUAAUAUACCACACAGAAAACAGUUUGAAAAGAAUGUAAUGAACACUUUCUAGCACAGGUCAUUAGCAUCUCUUAUGAAGUAAGGGGUCACGGAUGACUUGAGGCUCAAAUUCUGGUUUCACAUAUUGAGCAAGUGUCUCCACAUACAACUCGUAUCGUGCAGUCAUUCGGAAGCCCCAUUUGUCUUUAUAUUGCCUGCACAAGUUAAGAUCCAUGUCUGUUACUAAUAAGCCAUCCCUGUUGCGUGAUAAAGAUGGUGUGCAGGAUGCAUCUGGUGCUGAAAUAUAACUUG